rnacentral:ncRNA from 1 species
GCGAGCGACGCUCCCAUGCACUCGUUUUGGUGUGAACCGCUGCGGUGUCAAAUCGUCUGUAGACGACUUAGGUACCUGUCGUGGUGUCGUAAUUAGUAGAGCAGCCACCACACUGCGAUCUAUUGAGGCUUAGCCAUUGACCGGGAGGUUUGU